UUUUGACUCCUCACCUGACAGAAUGAGGCUACUUGGACUGUAGAUCCUCCUGUUGCCUCGCUUGGGAUUUUAGUUUGAGUUGUAGGCUUAAACCAAUGGGAAUGGAAUCAACAAUUUUAAGUCCUAAGCAGGAAGGUGAAAACUGUUCUUGUAUUUAAACCUUGAGACUUUUCUAACUUGCCCACUUUGUUGAACUGCAGUUGAAAUUUGCCAAGACUUUGCAAUGAAAAGCUGAACCAAGAAGAGAGUUCUGGAAAGAAAAAGGAAGUUUUUCCUUAAGCUCUAAAGAAGUGCCCAGAGGCUAUGAAUGAAACUGCUGAACAUUUCACAGAUACUGCAAGGGGCAAUUUCUGCCCCAUGCAGUUUACAGCAAAAAAUAAGCAAGACAGCCAAAAGCAGGAGGCAAUAACCAAGGGAGGGAUUUGGCAUGAAAUCUGCUGCAAGAACAUGCAAGUGCGGGAAGCAACAGAGAGCUCUGCUGCUGCAGAUUUCCGUCAGGGUUAG
rnacentral:lncRNA from 1 species